rnacentral:rRNA from 1 species
GACGAACUCUGGCGGCGUGCUUAACACAUGCAAGUCGAACGGAAAGGCCCUGCUUUUGUGGGGUGCUCGAGUGGCGAACGGGUGAGUAACACGUGAGUAACCUGCCCUUGACUUUGGGAUAACUUCAGGAAACUGGGGCUAAUACCUGUUAGGAGCUCCUGCUGCAUUGUGGGGGUUGGAAAGUUUCGGCGGUUAGGUAUGGACUCGCGGCUUUUCAGCUUGUUGUUGGGGUAGUGGCUUACCAAGGCUUUGACGGGUAGCCGGCCUGAGAGGGUGACCGGCAACAUUGGGACUGAGAUACGGCCAGAACUCCUACGGGAGGCAGCAGUGGGGAAUAUUGCACAAUGGGCGGAAGCCUGAUGCAGCAACGCCGCGUGCGGGAUGACGGCCUUCGGGUUGUAAACCGCUUUCGCCUGUGACGAAGCGUGAGUGACGGUAAUAGGUAAAGAAGCACCGGCUAACUACGUG